UAUUAUCCUCUCUCUCAUCUCUUUUCCUUCACUACCGUUUCAACCCUCAAUUCAUCUCUUCCAGUUUUCCCUUUUUCAUUCUUCUCUCUUUCAAUGUUUCAAAACCAACCGUAUUCUCCUUUUCUUCUACCACGCUUCAAUCACGUUUCCGUUUCACUCCACUGUUUUCUCCUCCUCUCUCACCAUCGUAUCCUUUCCAGUUCACACAAAUCUGUUUCUCUCUUCCAUCUCAAGUUCUUCCAUCUUGCAUCAUGUUUCUCAACCAGACGCCGUUCUUUCGAUUCUUCCAUACACCAUAAUUCCAAAUCGCGAUCUUUGUCAGAUAUGUGUUCCUAUCAUGAAAGCUCCUGUCGCAAAUAGCCUCUCCCGCAGACCGAUUCUCUGGUUUAUGAAGUCCAUGAGAGGUACCUUUCAAUCUCAUCCCCACCUCCUUUCAAUCUGCUUCAAUUGGAAUUUCUGAAGCAUUACUGCCUGUGUCAUUGUCCUCUCUCACAAAUCGUGUUCCUGCCUUCUCAAUGUCUGAUCACUCAGGUAAUUUUGUGAAAAAUUCCUUAAUGAUGUUUUAUUGUCUCAAUGGCAUCUCUCAUAGCCUGCUCCGAUGCAUUGAUUUCAUCCACUCGACCUUCCAAUUCUCUCAGAACUUCAAUGUCAUCUCUCAUGGGCUCAUGGCCGUUCUUUCAAUCGCAUCUCUCAUCCCGAUUAAGAGCUCUAAUAUCCAUCAAAUUUCGUAUACCUGCUCAAUCAAUGGAAUCCCAUGAAGCAUUUUUGAAUAACAAUGUUGCAUAUGUCAAGAACCAGUGCAGGUGUUCCAUGCCUCAGGGAAAUUUCUUUCUACUCAUUUUCUGCUGACUCAUCUUAGAGGAGAGCCCCCCAGAGAAGCUUUGUUUUCAGAUUAAAGAUGCUACUGAAGUUGUCUUAUUGAUGAUUUUUACUUUUGGUGAUUGCAUGAGGAGGCUAUACUUCAAUUCUAAUGUUAAACUUUUGGAGAUUGCACGAGAUGGCUCUGCUUCAACUACAAAAUAUUUCUGCAUAUAGGUAGUUCAUUAUGAGAGAUCUGGUACUUCUUUGUUGUUUUAUUUGCAUCAUUCACUUUUCAAAUACAUAUAGCUUUUCGGCCCAGUGAUUCCCUUAAUCAAAUGUGAUGGUGUUGAUAGUUUUACAUACUGCAUUCAUUGCAGAAUACAAACUUAAACAAAUGAUAAACAAAUAGUUCAUUCUCUUCAUGAGACAUUUACUUACUUGAUUCUUCUAUGUGAAACUAUGCUUAUCUGUUUUUAUGAUUAUGAGAUGGUUAUCUAAAAAGUUCAUUCACUUAUCUGGAACUUUAUUGUGGUUUUGAUGGCUUAAUUUAGUUGAAGUGGAAUAUUCAAUGCACAAUCAUUUGUGGCAAGGGUCUUCAUGGUAAACCAAUCCAAUUUUAUGGUUUGUUGAGUGAGUAAAGAAGCUAACCCCGUCUUCAUUCCUUUGGAUAAAUGGCUCUAAAACAGCAUGUGUGGCAAGGGGAAUCAGUAAAGUGAGCAAUUAAACUCAUCAAGCCAGAUUUAUAGCUGUGUUUAUAAUUUCUUUAAACCACUUCAGGUUGAUGCUCUAUCAUUAAGCACAAUGCAAAUUAAAGUUAUUUUUCUAAGUGUCCCUAUCAAUGUUUGUUGUGGAACUUCAAUGCCUACAAAUGCAGAAAGAUAGGAAAGUAUAUCAAGUGACUGUUGGAGCAAGAAGACCUAUUUUUAAAAAACGCAAGGACCAUGCACACACUGUCGAGGGAUCUAAGUGGAAUUUUGUGCCUAGCUCAUAAUGAUUUUUGUAGUUUUGUGUAAUAAAAGGAAUGACUCUGAAAGAAGAAUUUUAUGGAAUUCUUUUAUAGCUUCUUGAUGGAACACAAUGUGGACUUGAUAAAUGUAAAGGUGAAUCAAUUAUGGCUGCAAUGUAUCUAGAAGGACACUUUGGAGAACAUAAAUUGAAAGUAUUGUUUUGUACUAGGGACUAAGUUGAGACUACCAAAUCAUUUACCUAUAGAAGAGUUAGAGAACUCAAAGCUUACAACUAACACUAAUUCUUCCCUAUCUCUUUGUCUUUGACCAUCACUCUUGGGAGGUUUGCUGCAAAAAUUGCUAGCAGCACUCAGCAAUCUCAAGCUGAGGAAACCAAGAAGUCAAACUUGACAGUUGCAAAUUCGAAUGGAUUUGGGGAGUAUAUAUUUGUUGAUGAUGAACUCAAGGCAGAAGAUCAGCCAGUGCCUAUGUCUCUGGAGCAAACAGUGCAUAGUGAAUCUGAUCAAAUGGAGGAAUUGGAGAUGGAGGAUAUUAUUGUAGUCUGCCGAAGAGCCUAUUGUGGACAUCGAUGUCGGAGAUGCGAAUAAUCCUCUUGCAGUUACUGAUUAUAUUGAAGGUCUUUAUUCCUACUACAGAAAAAUUGAGGUUUUUACUACUUGCAAAGUACUGGCUGUGUCUCACCAAAUUAUAUGGCACAACAAUGUGACAUUAAUGAAAGGGUGAGGGCAAUACUGAUUGACUGGCUUAUUGAGUCAAUCAACCCAGUAAAGUAUGAUGAAUUCACUCUCAAGAAGAACAUCUUCUCUACCUUUGCUUGAUAUUAUGCUGAUGGAGGAGUCAUUUCACUGGUCAUGUAUUAGAUCUUCCCUACAUUGGAAUCUGUUGAGAAGGUUAAUGAAUUUAUGCUUGAUUUACUUCCAGGAAAUACAACAGAGUACUUAAGCUCAGAUACCACUUGCAAAUAUGAUGAAGACACCGAACUACAGUCAUAAUGGUUUACUACAGAGUUCUUAAAUGAUAUUACAUGCUCUGAUAUACCAAAUCACAAAAUAACAGAAAAAGGAAGGUGCUUUGAUAAUGCUUUUGAGAAAUAUAGUUCAAGCAUCCGGUUUAUGCAA